GAUGAACGCUGGCGGCGUGCCUAACACAUGCAAGUCGAACGGAGUCCAGCCUUUAAGACCUUCGGGUCAAAGAGGGGAAGACUGAGUGGCGGACGGGUGAGUAACACGUGGGCAACCUGGCUCAUAGAGGGGGAUAACAGAGAGAAAUUUCUGCUAAUACCGCAUAAGCACACACUGCCGCAUGGCAGAGGGUGAAAAGAGAAUCGCUAUGAGAUGGACCCGCGUCUGAUUAGCCAGUUGGCAGGGUAAGAGCCUACCAAAGCGACGAUCAGUAGCCGAUCUGAGAGGAUGAACGGCCACAUUGGGACUGAGACACGGCCCAAACUCCUACGGGAGGCAGCAGUGGGGGAUAUUGCACAAUGGGGGGAACCCUGAUGCAGCGACGCCGCGUGAGUGAAGAAGUACUUCGGUAUGUAAAGCUCUAUCAGCAGGGAAGAUAAUGACAGUACCUGAAUAAGAAGCCCCGGCUAACUACGUG
rnacentral:rRNA from 1 species